AUUGAACGCUGGCGGCAGGCCUAACACAUGCAAGUCGAGCGGAUGAGAAGAGCUUGCUCUUCGAUUCAGCGGCGGACGGGUGAGUAAUGCCUAGGAAUCUGCCUGGUAGUGGGGGACAACGUUUCGAAAGGAACGCUAAUACCGCAUACGUCCUACGGGAGAAAGCAGGGGACCUUCGGGCCUUGCGCUAUCAGAUGAGACUAGUUCGGAUUAGCUAGUUGGUGAGGGAAUGGCUCACCAAGGCGACGAUCCGUAACUGGUCUGAGAGGAUGAUCAGUUACACUGGAACUGAAACACGGUCCAGAAUCCUACGGGAGGCAGCAGUGGGGAAUAUUGGACAAUGGGCGAAAGCCUGAUCCAGCCAUGCCGCGUGUGUGAAGAAGGUCUUCGGAUUGUAAAGCACUUUAAGUUGGGAGGAAGGGCAGUAAGUUAAUACCUUGCUGUUUUGACGUUACCGACAGAAUAAGCACCGGCUAACUCUGUGCCAGCAGCCGCAGUAACAC
rnacentral:rRNA from 1 species